AUCUCCAACAUAAGAAGCUAAGAAGGCUGCAGCUUCCACCGGGCCUCUUGGGCUGCGUACUCUUGACACUCCUGCUCUGAGAACUAAGCAGGCAUAUUUCAUAUCAAAAUAGUAAAGAACUUCCUUUCCAAAGGCAGGACUUGCUUCUGUGAGGUACUGAGCCACCCGUCCCUGGAGGAAAGCAAGAAUAGAGCAGAUCAGAGCCCAGGAAGACAUCUUGGAUGAUGGGGUACAUCUUGCCAUCCAGAGGCAAUGCUGGAGCGGGCAGUUGUCUGCGGGGAGGCCCUGGCUCACUCUGGGCCAAAUAACAGGACUGAUUGCAGCCAGCGAUGAAACAUCCUGUUUCUCCCAACCAGAAAC
rnacentral:lncRNA from 1 species